AUUGAACGCUGGCGGCAUGCUUUACACAUGCAAGUCGAACGGUAACAGGUUAAGCUGACGAGUGGCGAACGGGUGAGUAAUGCAUCGGAACGUGCCCGAUCGUGGGGGAUAACGCAGCGAAAGCUGCGCUAAUACCGCAUACGGUCUGAGGAUGAAAGCGGGGGACCGUAAGGCCUCGCGCGAUCGGAGCGGCCGAUGUCAGAUUAGGUAGUUGGUGGGGUAAAGGCUCACCAAGCCAACGAUCUGUAGCUGGUCUGAGAGGACGACCAGCCACACUGGGACUGAGACACGGCCCAGACUCCUACGGGAGGCAGCAGUGGGGAAUUUUGGACAAUGGGCGAAAGCCUGAUCCAGCAAUGCCGCGUGCAGGAAGAAGGCCUUCGGGCUGUAAACUGCUUUUGUACGGAGCGAAAAGGCUCUCUCUAAUACAGGGGGCUCAUGACGGUACCGUAAGAAUAAGCACCGGCUAACUACGUGCCAGCCGCCGCGGUAA
rnacentral:rRNA from 1 species